rnacentral:rRNA from 1 species
GACAGAGGGUGCUAGCGUUGUUCGGAAUGACUGGGCGUAAAGGGCGCGUAGGCGGACAUAUUAGUCAGGCGUGAAAGCCCCGGGCUUAACCUGGGAAUAGCGCAUGAAACGGUAUGACUAGAGGACGAGAGAGGAAAGCGGAAUUCCUAGUGUAGAGGUGAAAUUCGUAGAUAUUAGGAGGAACAUCAGAGGCGAAGGCGGCUUUCUGGCUCGUAACUGACGCUGAGGCGCGAAAGCGUGGGGAGCAAACAGG